rnacentral:rRNA from 1 species
UNUGCUGUGAAAGGCUGGGGCUUAACCCUGGUUUUGCAGUGGGUACGGGCUAANUAGAGUGCAGUAGGGGAGUCUGGAAUUCCUGGUGUAGCGGUGGAAUGCGCAGAUAUCAGGAGGANCACCGAUGGCGAAGGCAGGUCUCUGGGCUGUAACUGACGCUGAGAAGCGAAAGCAUGGGGAGCGAACAGGAUUAGAUACCCUGGUAGUCCAUGCCGUAAACGUUGGGCACUAGGUGUGGGGGACAUUCCAUGUUUUCCGCGCCGUAGCUAACGCAUUAAGUGCCCCGCCUGGGGAGUACGGCCGCAAGGCUAAAACUCAAAGAAAUUGACGGGGGCCCGCACAAGCGGCGGAGCAUGCGGAUUAAUUCGAUGCAACGCGAAGAACCUUACCAAGGCUUGACAUAUACUGGACUGCGUCAGAGAUGGCGUUUCCCUUCGGGGCUGGUAUACAGGUGGUGCAUGGUUGUCGUCAGCUCGUGUCGUGAGAUGUUGGGUUAAGUCCCGCAACGAGCGCAACCCUCGUUCUAUGUUGCCAGCACGUGAUGGUGGGGACUCAUAGGAGACUGCCGGGGUCAACUCGGAGGAAGGUGGGGAUGACGUCAAAUUAUCAUGCCCCUUAUGUCUUGGGCUUCACGCAUGCUACAAUGGCCGGUACAGAGGGUUGCGAUACUGUGAGGUGGAGCUAAUCCCUAAAAGCCGGUCUCAGUUCGGAUUGGGGUCUGCAACUCGACCCCAUGAAGUCGGAGUCGCUAGUAAUCGCAGAUCAGCAACGCUGCGGUGAAUACGUUCCCGGGCCUUGUACACACCGCCCGUCAAGUCACGAAAGUUGGUAACACCCGAAGCCGGUGGCCUA